rnacentral:rRNA from 1 species
CGGACGGGUGAGUAACGCGUGAGCAACCUGCCCUACAAUGGGGGACAACAGCCGGAAACGGCUGCUAAUACCGCAUGAGACCACGGGAUCGCAUGAUUCUGAGGUAAAAGGAGAAAUCCGAUGUAGGAUGGGCUCGCGUCCCAUUAGAUAGUUGGUGAGGUAACGGCCCACCAAGUCAACGAUGGGUAGCCGACCUGAGAGGGUGAUCGGCCACACUGGAACUGAGACACGGUCCAGACUCCUACGGGAGGCAGCAGUGGGGAAUAUUGGGCAAUGGGCGAAAGCCUGACCCAGCAACGCCGCGUGAGGGAAGAAGGCCUUCGGGUUGUAAACCUCUGUCCUAUGGGACGAAACAAAUGACGGUACCAUAGGAGGAAGCUCCGGCUAACUACGUGCCAGCAGCCGCGGUAAUACGUAGGGAGCAAGCGUUGUCCGGAAUUACUGGGCGUAAAGGGUGCGUAGGCGGCUUAGUAAGUCAGAUGUGAAAGGCUGGGGCUCAACCCCAGAGCUGCAUUUGAAACUAUUAGGCUUGAGUGCAGGAGAGGCAAGUGGAAUUCCUAGUGUAGCGGUGAAAUGCGUAGAUAUUAGGAGGAACACCAGUGGCGAAGGCGACUUGCUGGACUGUAACUGACGCUGAGGCACGAAAGCGUGGGGAGCAAACAGGAUUAGAUACCCUGGUAGUCCACGCCGUAAACGAUGGAUACUAGGUGUGGGGGUCGAUAGGCCUCUGUGCCGAAGCAAACGCAUUAAGUAUCCCGCCUGGGGAGUACGAUCGCAAGGUUGAAACUCAAAGGAAUUGACGGGGGCCCGCACAAGCAGCGGAGCAUGUGGUUUAAUUCGAAG